rnacentral:lncRNA from 1 species
CAGCAAUCAUCAUUUAAAUGUGCAAUCCACAUUUUUCUUUCCCUUAAAUUUCAGCAAUUGCAUUUCAAUAAUUCACAUAAAAAUUGUUGCAAAGCUUUAAAAUAAAAUAAUUGCAACGAUGAUUUUGUAAUGAAUACUGAUAUAAGCCCUUCCUUUUACAAAAAUGUAUACCAGUCUUCAAAAUGAUUAAAUAAAUACAAGUACUUUUCUCGAUUUACAAAUUACAAUAAAGAUGAUAUUGCUUCAAAUAAAUCAUUUAUAAUUUGGUUGAUUGGUACCCCAAACAGCUUGCUUGAUACACUAGAACGGGUCAGUUUUGCUAUUCAGCACUUGCCAUAGAGUUUUCACCAAAUCAUUCACCGUCGUUUUGUACCCUUCACCCAUCUGCAGGACACCAUGUUAUUAAAUAAAAGAUUGAUUAUUAAUUAAUCAAUUAGAUAUUGACAUAAUAAAGUAUUUAUGAACUUGUCAUGGACUGAGUAUGUCAAACAUCAAAGUUUAAAUGGAGUGGAAAUGUGGAAAUUAAUCUAUGAAGAAUGAGUAUAAUGUAAGCUUUUUAAUUACCACAUUGAGGAUAAGGUGUUUGUGCAAGAUCAAUGGAAUAUAAUGACCUAAGAUAGGCUCAAUAUAAUAAAGUAGUCUAAAUAGGUAAAGAUUACGAUGAGUUAGUUGUAUUAGAUAUUUUAAUAGAUACGUCACCUUGUUCUUGAAAGAUAUAAAGAGAUCAUUUUUGUGAUGAGUCAUUAUUCAAAUACUUAUGCUAUAAAUAAUAGGUUGGUUAUUGUAAUCAAUAUCAAAUGAAUGAAUGAAUAAAUUAGUUUGUUAGAUUAGUUUAGUUUUAGCUUAUUCUCUCUUUUAGAAUAUUAUCUCUCUCAUUUAUAAACAACCCAAAAGUUGUUCAUUACAUAACUAUUAUUAAUAUAAAAUAGAGUCAUA